rnacentral:rRNA from 1 species
GUAGGGUCCGAGCGUUGUCCGGAGUUACUGGGCGUAAAGGGCGCGUAGGCGGCUCUGUGCGUCACCCGUGAAAGCCCCCGGCUCAACCGGGGAGGGUCGGGUGAAACGGCGGAGCUGGAGGCAGCGAGAGGCUGGUGGAAUUCCCGGAGUAGUGGUGAAAUGCGUAGAGAUCGGGAGGAACACCGGUGGCGAAGGCGGCCAGCUGGCGCUGACCUGACGCUGAGGCGCGAAGGCGUGGGGAGCGAACGGGAUUAGAUACCCCGGUAGUCCACGCAGUAAACGAUGUGGACUAGGUGUGGGGGGAGUUGACCCCCUCCGUGCCGGCGCGAACGCAGUAAGUCCACCGCCUGGGGAGUACGGCCGCAAGGCUA